UACGAAGGGGGCUAGCGUUGCUCGGAAUUACUGGGCGUAAAGCGCACGUAGGCGGCUUUCUAAGUCGGGGGUGAAAUCCUGGAGCUCAACUCCAGCACUGCCUUCGAUACUGGAGAGCUCGAGUCCGGGAGAGGUGAGUGGAACUGCGAGUGUAGAGGUGAAAUUCGUAGAUAUUCGCAAGAACACCAGUGGCGAAGGCGGCUCACUGGCCCGGUACUGACGCUGAGGUGCGAAAGCGUGGGGAGCAAACAGG
rnacentral:rRNA from 1 species